CCCUUAGAUGUUCUGGGCCGCACGCGUGCUACACUGAGUGGAUCAGCGGGUCAGGUUGCGCGAAAGUGUUUCCUAAUCUUUAAAUCCGCUCGUGAUGGGGAUUGACGGUUGCAAUUUUCCGUCAUGAACGAGGAAUACCUUGUAAGCGCGGGUCAUCAUCCCGCGCUGAAUACGUCCCUGCCCUUUGUACACACCGCCCGUCGCUCCUACCGAUUGAAUGUUCCGGUGAGCUCUUCGGACUGCGCGGUCUGCAGUUUCUGCGUUCCGUGCGGAAAGUUGCGCAAACCUUAACAUUUAGAGGAAGGAGAAGUCGUAACA
rnacentral:rRNA from 1 species